CCGCCGCCCGCCGCCCGUCCCUUCGGAAGCGCCGAUUCCUCGGGGAGGAGGAGGCGUGAGGGGAGGCGGCGGAGGCAGCCGGCACGGGGCGCUCGGGCCGCGGGGCAGGGGGCGCGGGGUGCCUCCUCGGCCUCGGCUCUCCCCGCCCCGGGGCGCCCCGAGACCGCCGCCUGCCUCCGCGGGCAGCUUUGUUCUUCUUUCCUCCAACUACCUGUCUGAGCCGCGGGCCCCAGAGGCCCCAAAGAGAGGCCCGGAGGGUCUCCCCAGCAGCAUCCGAGGGGCGCUCUCGGGGAGCUAGGGGCCAGAGUCCGCGGUCCCUCCGUGCCUGCCUCCCUCCCCUCGUGCCUCGGUCUUUUGUUGCCUCUACUCCUCGGCACGGCGCAGCCUGGGCUCUCUUCCCCCUCCCGCUUGGGAGUUUGCAGUGUGGACGCUCGGCAAGCACAGCCUAUACUCACCUCCAGACCUUUGCACUUGAUACUCCUCUGGUCUUCCCAUGACAGCUCCUUCACUUCUCAGCUCAGACGUCAGCUCCACAGAGAGGCCUCUCCUAACAAUCCCAUCUACAGGGACUGGGUAUCUAAUGUUUUACUGAAGCACUGUUUGCAGAAAGCCUAGCGGGCUCAGAAAACCAGCCAUGCCAUGGUGGGAAGAAAGCCUUGCUGAGAUCCUGUGGCUGAAAACCAUCAUGGGCUUUUGCUUUCAGACUGCCCAUUGCCAACCGAUGCAGGCCCAGAGAAGCAAGGAGGAGUGCUGUUCUGGGAAGGCGGUGGGCACAUAGAUGGAGCUAGACUUGCGACUUCAGGCCCUCAGCAGCCACAUGAUCUUGCAGCUGUGGGCCAUGCACCUGCUUCUUGGGCCCAUGAUUAACCAGAUGUUCAGCUCCUUAAAGACAGACUUCGGGGCCCUUGGCUGGCAGGGGAUGCAAUCUGCAGAUGAGAAGCUCUGAGAAGCAGUUCUCAAAGCCAGGAUCCAGAGGCUCAGCCAUGUGAGUUUCCUGUGAGAGGGAAAAGGCAGGAGCAUAGAGGCCACUGAAGUUGUUCUCAAAAGCCCCAAGAUACCUUUGGUCUCAGUGGAGGCAUCCAGGACACAGCUGUCUUCACUUCUUCACUCAGUCAUUUAGAAAUUGUUCAGUGAGCACCCACCCUGUAUAAUUCACUGCUGCUGCAGCUGAGCUCAACAUGGUGUCAUCUAGGGGAGGAGCUUGAAGAGGUUGUGUUAAGGAAGAACCACGAGAGGAGUGCCCAGUUGGAUGUGACCCCGGAUGUGUAGGCAUCCAGGAGGCUGAAAGAAGGCUGACCCAGGGCCUGAUCACUUGACAAUGGACAUGCUACCUCACAGAGCAUAACACCACAACUAACACAUCCUGAGCCCUCAAUCAAUGUUGUGCAAUAAAGGAAUAAACCUGGAUGUCUUUCCUGUAACCAAACAUUGGACUAUUCAUCAACUGUGCACUUUUUGUUCCCCAACGAGCACAAGGGUUUGGACUGCACCAUCCCCACUCUUUCUUGACUCUCUCUGUACACCAUAAAUGCAUGGUUCAGGGUGAUUUUGCUGGGCAAGGGUGAUGGUUUGACUAUUUGUGUCCCUCCAAAAUUCAUGUUGACACUUAAUGCCCAUUGUGGUGGUAUUAAGAGGUAGAGACUUUCGGGAAGUGAGUAAGUCACGAGGCCUCUUUAUAAAAGAAGCUUCAGGCCAGGUGCAGUGGCUUAUGCAUGUAAUCCCAGUACUUUGACAGGCUGAGAUGAGAGGAUCAUUGAGCCUAGGAUUUCAAAACUAGCCUGGGCAACAUAAUGAGACCCUAUCUCUAUUAAAAGUAAAACAUUAGCUGGGCAUGGUGCGGUGCACCUGUAGUCUCAGCUACUUUGGAAGCUGAGGCAGGAGGAUCACUUGAGCCCAGGAGGUUGAGGCUGCAGUGAGCUAUGAUUGCACCACCGCACUUCGGCCUAGGCAACAGCGUGAGACCUUGUCACACACACACACACACACACACACACACACAAUAGUUUCAGACAAUAGCCUGGCCUGGCCUUCCCAUCUCUUCUGCUGUGAAAACACAACAUGCAUCCCUUUUUGCCUCUUCAGCACAUGAGGAUAUAGCAAAAAGGCCCAGGCCCUCAACAGGCACUGAAUCUGCUGGUACCUUGAUCUUGGACUUCAGAGCCUCCAGAACCAUAAGAAAUAAAUUUCUAUUCUUUAUAAAUUACUGAAUCUGUGGCAUUUUGUUACAGCAGCACAAACAGACUAGGACAGGGAGGUUGGGAGUGCACCGUGUGAUGUGUCUUUGCAAAGUCUACCCUGUACCAAGCUGACUGGCCCUAUGGGAUUUGUUAGCAACUAGCUGGGCCAGAUCAUUAGAAAACAAUUUGAAAUGCAGAAUGAGGAAUGGUGGCAAAUUUGGCUAUUUUUCUCAGGGUUUUGUUCAGCACCAUUUGCUGCCAUGCUACCAGCAUAGUGGUUUGUGUGGCCUGUACAUCCAGAAUACCUGGGUUCAAAUCCUGCUCCCUGCCUGUGUGAUCUUGAGCAGGUGAUAUGAGCUGCCUGUGCCAAGUUCCGCAUCUGUAAAGUGAGGGUGGUAAAAGGACCUACCUCGUAGAGUUGCUAUGAGAAUGAAGUAAGUUGGCGGGUGAAAAGGUGGUGAAUAUUCGUAUUAUUGAUGUUAUUAUCACUGUAAGCAGCAGUGGCAGCAGCUGCCAAGCCUCACAUUCCAACCUGAGAAUUUCCAAGAGAAGGCAGAUGAUCUUGUAAAACUCCAGGAAGUCACAUCUCUGAUUUCCAGCCCUCCUGUCUACAGAGCCAAACCUUUCCGCAGAACUCUCCCUGCUACCAUAAAAUGCUGCCUCCACAGAGGGAACCCUCCCCAGGCACAAGGCAGAUGGUUGCUCCGUUCCAUGUGGCCCCUCACUGCAGUGCAGUGAUGAUGUUUGGGCUGAGCAAAAGACUUCAGUGCUCAGAGGAGAAGGAGCAGGAGGCUUUGCCAGCUUCCAUUUGCAUGAGAAAAGAACUGAGAGGAGAGGGGAGAAGGGGGAAGAUGCUUGCUUCCUCCUUCCAUCUUGGCAUUCACAGAGCAGGCUGCAUUUGAACACUGCCGUGCUAUGUACAUUGGAUCCAUGCAAUGUUACAUAAGUAUUUCAUAAGGGACAAGGUGACUUUGUGUUUUUUUCACCUGUUCUUCUCCUCUGAUCCCAGAAGCUGGGAAGUAGGCUGGAUGCAGAGAAAAGAGCAUUGUUCUCAAGUCUGCUUCACUGCUUAAAGACUAAGAAGGAAAAAAAAUAGAAAGGAAAACAAGAAUCAUUGUCUCUUUUGUUUUCUCUUUAAAAUAUAAAAGGAACUCUGAAACCAAAGUUCGGAUGACAUCGUAUGACAUUUUCCUUUCCACAUGGAAAAAUUUUGAAUAAAAGAUCUGUUUUCUGGGUUGACACUUCUGGGCUCUUUCAAUCUCCAGUAGCAGCAAACUGCUGUCAUUUCUGGAAAUAAGGAUGGCAAGACUCAGGGGGUUAAUCUGCCUGAUUUUGCUCUCCAAGGGUGACAGCGUAAAGCUCUUUGGCUCUGCAUCCACAGUAAUAGCUGAGGGCAGCGCUGCCCAACAGAACUUUCUGUGGUGAUGGAAGCCUUCUCUAAUCUGUGCUGCACAUCUGGCAGCCACGAGCCACACGUGGCUAUUGAGCGCUGGAAGUGGGGCUGCUGUGACUGUGGAACUGAGUUAACUUCACUGUUAAUUUAAAUUUAAAUGGCCACGUGUGGUCUGUGGCUACAGUAUUGGCAGGUGCAUGAGAGCAAUAGCAAAACAAACUGUAAGUAGCAUCCACAGAUGUUGACUGAAUGCAUCACACAGAUAAGAUGGAAAAGGAAGAGCCUAAAAGUUCUGAAGAGUGAUGUUCCCCUUCCACAGGAGCAGUUUAUGUGUCAGUGGCAAUGAUGUUUUAUGAAUAUUUGGGAUGACCAUUUUCUGUUUCAUCUUUCAGCUGUGGGAGUAGCAGUCUACUUUAUUUCUUUUCAAUUUUUUUUUAGAGAUGGAGUCUUGCUAUGUUGCCCAGGGUGAUCUUGAACUCCUGGCCUCACAUGAUCCUCCUGCCUCAACCUCCCAAAGUGUUGGGAUUACAGGCAUGAACCACCAUGCCUAGCUCAGUCUACUUUUUUUAAAAGAGGAAUGAGAUCAAGAUCACAUUUCAAAAAAUAUGUUGUCUCCUAAAGUAAGUAAUAUUUCUACCUGGAAGCUCUUCCUUCAAGUCUAAAGUCAAAGGGAAAGACAAUAAUUUCUUCUAGGCUUUUGAGGUGAUGAUCAUGGGGUUUGCUUAGAUGUCAGAUCCACGAGUCACCCUAAAGCCUGAAGAGACAGAGUAGAUGGGAGCUGGUGUUGGGUGAACACUGGACUGGUCCCAGGGCUGCGGUUCUUGAUCAGUGUAAUGCAGGAAGGAGUCGCCAAUGUGGCCACGCUCCUGGUAGGGGUUCUUUGUAGGUACUAGAGGCUCAGUAGCUGUCCUGAGUCAAAAGACCAAAGAAAAAGGGAAGCCUCAAGGAGAGAUGAGAGGACAGCAGAUGAAAAUGAGCCUGCAGGAAACCAAGCUCUGAGGAGAAAUGGGCAGGCAGCCAAGAGCAGGGCAGAAACUGCAGCAGUAGCAGCGGCAGCAAUGAAGUCUCCAAGUUAUGAGUGGCAGGCUCUGAGAACAAUGAUGGAGCAGGAAGUUAAUGCAGAGGGCAGGCAGAGAGCCCCUGAGACGAUAAGCAAGAUGAGUGGAGAAAACCGACAGGACUUAGACCUGGGCAUGGGCAGCAGAGGACCUUAUCCCAGCAGCAGAGGGACUGGCAGUUAAUGACGAUGCUCGAACAUCUGCUAUACGUUGGGAAUUUUGCACGCAUUUAAUAUUUUGCAUGCAGAUAAUAUUAUUCCCAUUUUAUGAAUGAAUGAGCCCAGACUUAAAGUGCUGGAGGGAUUUAAUAUUCUCCUGGAUCUAUCUGCCUUGCUGGCUACUCCUUCAGGCUUCCUUUUGAGUUCAUUCUUCUCUUACCACGUCUGUAAAUGUUAGAAUUUUUUAAGGAAUGUUACACAGUUGAGUCGUCUUCUCUUCUCACCCCCUACUUACUCAGCACAGUAUAAACCACUCUCUGGGAACUCCAGAAUUUUGUCUCUAUCUGGAAUCUCCCCUAGGAAUGGCAAAAUUAACCUAAAGAAUGUACAAGGAAGGAAAAAAUAGACAUAAACCUAGGUAUUUUUAUUUUGUUAAUUAGAAAAGUAGAAAGAACAGAUAAUGAUUCCAAGAGUUGCUUUUCAUUUAACCAAUAAAAUAACAAACCCUUAACUGACCCAAUAAAGAAAAUGGGAGCAGUCACAAAAUUAGGAAUGAGAAAAUAUUUCAAGAGACCACUCUGCUCAAUGCUAUGUUGAAACUUUUGAAAACCUAAAUACCAAUUAAAUUUUUCCAGUAAAAUAUUUAUGACCAAGGUUUACUCUACAAGAGAGUCUACUACUAGAGUUGCCAGAAUUAGUAUACAGAAAUUUGAAUUUUAGAUAAAUAAUUUUUUAGUAUGUCUUACGCAACAGUUAGGACAUACUUUUACUAAAAAAAAAAAAAAGUCAUUGGUUGUUAUUCUGAAAUUCAAAUUUAAUUGGAAAUCCUGCAUUUUAACUGGCCGAUCUAUUAAAACAGAUAAAUUAUUGUGGAGAAACAAUAGGAACUUGUCAAAAGCUUUAAAAACAUCAAGAUCAGAAGUUUCAGGUAAAGCGUAUGAAUUAAAUUCAAGCAAUAUUUUCAACUCUAUUUAAAUGAUUCCAAAGCAUAAAAAAACAGCUUCUAAGACAUUUUUAUAAAGCUACAAAGACUGAAGUCAAACCUGACAAGGAGAGUUAAAAAAUGUGGGCAAAACAGUGGUGAAUAUUCAUGAUAAAAUCUUACUGUGAUAUUCACAAACAUGGGGGAAUGAUAUUUUCUUUAAAAUCGACAGACUUUUUAGAGAAAAAAGGCAGUUGAAGAAAUUAUCAACAGUGAUUUUACCAAGUUCUUUGUAUUUUUUCUCAGUCUUAACAUGCCUAUAUAUAUUAUGUACAUAAUUCUUAGCUGUAAGUCAUUUUUAUAAUAGAUGCUAUUUUCUGCAAGCCUCUCAAAUUAAAACCCAUUGUUCUGAAAGUACUAAUCAAUGCAAUUACAUAAGGGAAAAAAUGAGACAUAAAUACUUCAACCACGGAGGCAAAAUUAUUACUGUUUUCAAACAAUGUAGUUAUUUACCUAGAAACUGCAAAAGAAUCAAUUGGAGGAAUUCUGUUACCAGCAGAAGAUAGUUCAGUUAGGUGGAUUGGUUUCACAAUGAAUAUCCACAUUCAGUGGCAUUUCAGUAAACAAAUAGUAUUCAGCUAUAAAAUAUAAUGGAGCAAAUUAUCUCAUUUAUAAUAGCAUAAAAAAGAUAAUGUGCCUAGACAUAAAUUUAAUUAAAAAUAUAGGCUAGGUAUGUUGGCUCAUGCCCAUAAUCUCAAGACUUUGGAGGGCUGGAGGAUCCCUUGAACCCAAGAGUUUGAGACCGUGAGACCCCAACUCUACAAAAAAAUAAAAUUAGCUCGGCAUGGUGUGCAUGCCUGUCAUCUCAGCUAUUGUGGAGUCUGAGGCAGGAGGAUUGUUUGAGCCCAGGAGUUUGAGGCUGUAGAGAUCUGAUUGUGCCACUGCACUCCAGCCUGGGUGACAGAGUGAGACCCUAUCUCUAAAAAUAAAUGGGGGGCUAUUAAAUAAAACAACAACGUGUAACACUUCUUGAAGGACAAAAAAAAAAUAAAAAUAAAUAAGUAGAAAGACCUGUCAAAGACCUAUCAUAUUCUUGGGUAGGAAGAUUCAAUACUGUAAAUGCAUAAGUUUACCCUAAAUUAAAUCCAUAGAUCCAAUUUAAUCCUCAUCAAAAUGCCAACAGGCACUUUUAUAUCUUGAUAAAGUAUUAAAGUUACUUGGAAACAUAAGUUUGAGGAAACUCCAUAGACUCCCGUAUGCAAUAAUCCAUUAAUAACCCAGUAAUAUUGGGGAGGAUACACAAGAAGCUGUUUAUAAUAUUCACCUCUUAGCAGUGGAAGUGAGGGGUAAAGACUUGAGCCAAAGAUGUAUUUUCAUGUUAUACUCAUCUAUGCUAUUUGAAUUUUUCCACAGGUGCAAAUAUUACUUAUAUGAUUAAAAAUAGUUAUUUUAAAAGAACAUUUCCAUUAUAUUGAGUACUGAUUUGUAACCCUCUCUGCUCAUUAGAAUCAUAUAGGGAGCUUUGGAAAGACACCAGGUCUCAGCACUUGCCUCCAGAUUCUAAUUCAAUUUGGCUGUGUUAGGGCCCAGGCAAUGGCAUUUUUUACAAAAGUUCUCACUGAUUCUGAUGUGGAGCCAGGGCCGAGAGCCACCACUGUCAAGUAACCCAUGGCAGCAUUUUCCAACUUUUGGUCACAACCCUUCGGUUAGGAAAUCAACUUAAUGGCUUGGGACCAGAGUUAAAAACAAACAAACAACAACAACUGAAACCAACUCAAUUGAGCAGAAACUUGUGCAUGCCUGUUGUGUUUAAGACAUGUCUCUUUCUGGGGGAUGUCAUCCAAAACAUUGGAAAACCCCUACCUUAAGUGGUUCAGAUCUUUCAGACUUUCUGAGACAUUUUAUCAGAAUUUGUGUGAACUAUUAAAGGCUUUUUACUGUUUAAAAGUUAUAUUGUAAUUCUGACUUUUGUUCACGUAUUUGAUGAUUCAAUUAUUUAUUCAUUACAUAGUCAAAGGUAGAAAAUUACAUGUAAUUACUUGUGCUUAUCUGAUAAGCAUAGUGACUGAUGUAUGUAAAUGCUCAAUAUGUGAUGG
rnacentral:lncRNA from 1 species